AUAAAAACGAUGAUCGAGAAGAGUAGCUUGCCGAUCACCAUUCAGGGAGAAACGCCAUAGACUGCGAGCGUUUUAUGGUGGAAGCAAGUGAAUUCACCUCGGGAGUUGGCGCUUGGACCAUUUUGCGCAUGCAAAUGUAAAGGCGUUCCGGUGUAAACCGUUAUCUGAAUGAAGUGAGCUAUGCGAACGACAUAGCUAACAAGGGUGGUACCGCGAGUGCACUCGUCCCUUAU
rnacentral:ncRNA from 1 species